GGUGCGUAACGCGUAUGCAAUCUACCUUGUACAGGGGAAUAGCCCAGGGAAACUUGGAUUAAUGCCCCAUAGUAUUAUUUUGUAGCAUUACAUUAUAUUAAAGAUUUAUCGGUACAAGAUGAGCAUGCGUCCCAUUAGUUAGUUGGUAAGGUAACGGCUUACCAAGACAGCGAUGGGUAGGGGCCCUGAGAGGGGGAUCCCCCACACUGGUACUGAGACACGGACCAGACUCC
rnacentral:rRNA from 1 species